AGAGUUUGAUCAUGGCUCAGGACGAACGCUGGCGGCGUGCUUAACACAUGCAAGUCGAACGGAAAGGCCCUUUCGGGGGUACUCGAGUGGCGAACGGGUGAGUAACACGUGGGUGAUCUGCCCUGCACUUCGGGAUAAGCUUGGGAAACUGGGUCUAAUACCGGAUAGGACCAUGCCAUGCAUGUGGUGUGGUGGAAAGCUUUUGCGGUGUGGGAUGGGCCCGCGGCCUAUCAGCUUGUUGGUGGGGUGAUGGCCUACCAAGGCGACGACGGGUAGCCGGCCUGAGAGGGUGUCCGGCCACACUGGGACUGAGAUACGGCCCAGACUCCUACGGGAGGCAGCAGUGGGGAAUAUUGCACAAUGGGCGCAAGCCUGAUGCAGCGACGCCGCGUGGGGGAUGACGGCCUUCGGGUUGUAAACCUCUUUCACCAUCGGCGAAGCCCAUGAUUUUUGUUGUGGGUGACGGUAGGUGGAGAAGAAGCACCGGCCAACUACGUGCCAGCAGCCGCGGUAAUACGUAGGGUGCGAGCGUUGUCCGGAAUUACUGGGCGUAAAGAGCUCGUAGGUGGUUUGUCGCGUUGUCCGUGAAAUUCCCUGGCUUAACUGGGGGCGUGCGGGCGAUACGGGCAGACUGGAGUACUGCAGGGGAGACUGGAAUUCCUGGUGUAGCGGUGGAAUGCGCAGAUAUCAGGAGGAACACCGGUGGCGAAGGCGGGUCUCUGGGCAGUAACUGACGCUGAGGAGCGAAAGCGUGGGGAGCGAACAGGAUUAGAUACCCUGGUAGUCC
rnacentral:rRNA from 1 species